CCUGCUGAAAGGCCUGAGCGUAGACUGUGUGUGUUGCCCCGCCCUGCCUUAGGGCCUGGGCCACUUGCUAACUGUUGUGGGUUCACUCCGCCCCACAGCAAGGGACGGGACCUGAGUCAACAGAGUGCUGUGGGCCGGUAUGGCUCCCCUCCGCCCGCAAGGAGGGUUCAGCCCCGGCGCCGCUCUACUGCAGGUUGUAUCAGCUGUGAUGCUGUUAAGAGUAAGACCCUGCAGCUGCUCCUGCUCAGUACUCCUAACACAAGCCAGAUAGGUGACCUGAUGGAUCACACCAUGCCUGAUUGCCUGAGGAAGCUAGCAGGAAUUGGAAAAACUUGGAGGUGAUGAAGGGAGACAAAUUUGUCUACUGAAAAGUAUCCCUGGAAUAUUUGUAUUAACUUGAUUUAACAUCUCUUAAUACUCCUAAAACUAAAUAUUCAAGUGAAGGAACAAAUGUUUAGAUGAAGGACCCUGCUUUUGUUGAGGUUAAUGAGAGUUUUGCUAUAGAAUUCAAUGGCAGCAAGAUCAACCCUAAAUUUGUUUAUCAGGACUGUAACUUACUUCAGGCUGCUACAUAGGAUUUAAAAGGUCUGUUACUUACACUUCGCUCUUAUCUUCACCUAGAUGUGUGGUCUGAGUCUAUAAUGCUUAACUGAGAGGAUGGGGGUGGGAGGGGUGAGGGAGAGAGAGUGGUGUGUUAUCUAUCAGUUAUGCCUCUUUGUGUAUCCCUGGAUUUGCUGGAACCUUGAGCUCUGUAAACAGCAAUGGGAAAAGUAAAUAAACUUGUGUUUAAAUGAAUCAAUGACAUAUGAAGCAAUAAAACUAGCACAACAGCACA